CCAGCUGGUAUGAAGGGCCAGGAGGAGCAGCAGAGAUCUGAGCCUGUAGAUCUGAUAAAUCCUAAAGUAACUGGGCACUUUCCCAUUAAGUCUUGGAAUCCCUGUCAAUAAAAGAAAAGGGAGAAAUGAAUAGGCUCAGUAACAAAUGUACCCUAGUGAAGAUCUUAUUGGCAUGGCAAGUGGUGGAACCUGGCUGCGUUCCUGUUCAAGACUUUGAAUGAAAUAUGUUGUUUCAGUUUUUGAUACGCAUCCUUGAAUAAGAAUUACAGAGGCCCAUUACUUUGCCUGCAGGGAAACGGCUUCCAAGAGAUCUUCUGCUUGUUUACUUCUAGGCUUAAUUUCACCAGGAAAACACCUUCUUCUGCUUUUGAUUCAAAAUGAAAACAAUAUUUUCACCCCUUACUAAAACAAACAAACGAAAAACACAAAGGGAAAAACAUUCUGAAGUGUACUGUGUGCCUUUGGUGGGUGCAAAGGAGUUUCAAGAUGAAUAUUAUCAGCCAACUAGAAUGGGCAAUCUGGCUUAGACUUGUGUGUACGUUGAAACCCAGUGCAACCUUUCAGCAAGGCAGCACCGACAGCAGCAGCAGAGUGAAUGGCAUUGCAGCUGCUGGGCACAGCACAGCUUGUGCAUUUGCAUUCUGUUCACAGGAGCCGUGCGAAGGAGCCCGUGCUGGUGGAGGACUGCACCUUGCCAAAUCAUCUUGGCAGCCUCAUCCAUGCAGCCCAUCCACGAGGGGUAAAUGAGAGCAGGAUUUGGCCUGCUUUCUUUUGGUUAAUCUCGUUUUAGAAGAGCUCUGUGUUUGUCUGGUUGGCACACGGAUGCUCAAGAGCUCAAUUCUACUUGUUGAGGAUGUUACUAGUCUGAUAGCGGCCUAUAAUUAUGGGAUGUCAUGCAGGGCUGGUGAUAGAUAUAGCAGCACUGGAAUCUAGGGGCUGCUGAAUUCAUGAGCCACUCGAGGGUAUCUUAGUAGUGAAACGAUCCUUGGUGUGACUAAAGCAUGCGGACACUUCAGAGCAGGCUUAAUAUAAAGCCUGCAAAUUGUCCUGAUGAAGUAAAUGGAAAUAUUAGUGUAUGUGUACACGUACAAAAAUGUCUGUAGGCUUGGAGGCUUAAAUAUCAAUUCAGUUUGAGAAUUAGCUUACAUUCACAUUGUGCUAUGUUCGUUUAUGUAAUUAUCCAUGCUCGGGUUAUCUCUCCCCACAAAAGUCAGCGUGCCAUCAUGGUGGUUUUGUGUCAUGCUGUAAGUGCAUGUAUUUAUGCCACCAAAACCAGUUGUCUCUAUCUGUGUAAAAGAAGCUUUGAUAAUUCAGUUAAUGUGGUAUUACUAUAAACUUCAGUUUAUCCACUGGCCAUGUUGACUGUUUCUAAUGUAAUACAAGUUUUGGUCUGUACCCUUAUAUAUCAAUACACAUUGCUUUCUAGUGUUAUUAAUUGAUUCAGCCCUGAUUUGUCUGGAAAGGUGACUCACCUGCAGUAAAGGUUUCAUUCCAUAUUUAUAAAUCCUGAUGUUUUCAGCCCUAUAAUCACUAUUCCCUUUCAGUCACAGCAGUCUUUUUGUUUCCUGGUGUAUGAAUGUAAGCAACUGUGCAAGGAGCCAUAGACAGAUGUCAGCACUGACUUGCUCUGCCAUAGGACACGAGGCAUUCAGAUACCAUCUCUCCUCCUUGGCAAAUCUGGGAUUUUUAUGUUUCUAGGGUAUUUUAUGUAAUUGAAUAUCCAACAAGAGCUCUGAAUCAGUCUUUUUGCUGAUGGCCUGGCAUAUCUGGCCUGCUGGUGACUGGAAGAAUCCUGUCCCAGCCCAGGUAUCUGAGUUCUGUUGUUCUGUGUUUGGUGCUGUUGA
ensembl:lncRNA